CUUGGCUGGGACAGUUUGCUUUUGAGAUUCCUUAGCUGUGUUGUGUGAGAUCCAUGUGGUCCGGGGAGCUAUUGCAGGCUUGGCGUGAGGAGCCAAUUGAGGGCAGGGGGAGGAAUCUUCUAUCAACAUCUCUGGCUUCCCUCGUAAUGCUCAGAAAGUCCUACAUGCUAGUUUAAAAAUUGGGCAGAUUUAGACUUAGAAAAACUUCUGUACUUUAGAAAAACAAGAGUGUACAAAGCAUCUAUUUAUAUCUACUUUAAAAGAAAAGAGAACCCACACACAAACAGGGAUUAUCCCAGGUGCUCCUGGCCAUGGAGGGAUUAGGCAGGCUAUGUAAGGAAGCUCAUAAAGCAACCGCCUCCACGCACAUGCGAACUCCCAAGGACGUGGGUUGCGCUCCAUGGAUUGUGCUGGCCCUCUGCGUGGUUCCUGUGUUCAGGCUUCUGUAAUCGCAAUAGGACUUCACCUUGUGCAUCUACUGUACCAUUUGGUCCCCCAGCCACACCUCGAAGGAGGUUGGACAGAGCAGACAGCACUGAGGGCCAGACUCGGAGCACGGGACUCUGAACGUUCCAGACAGUGCUGAGAGGAUCAGACUCAGCCCAGAGAGAUUGAGCAGCAGGCAACAGUCCUACUUCACUGUAGAAACAUCGAGUGUGAUUUUGGCAAGGCGUUAAGAAGAAGUUUACCCCUAGCAACACUGAAUCCCCCAGACCCCAGAACUCACCUGCCUCUCGUGGAAAAGGUCCACCUCUCUCAGAAGCCUCUCCUGGCAGUCCAGGUUGGUGGC